UCAAUAAGCGGAGGAAAAGAAACCAACAGGGAUUGCCCUAGUAACGGCGAGUGAAGCGGCAACAGCUCAAAUUUGAAAUCUGGCUCUUUUAGGGUCCGAGUUGUAAUUUGCAGAGGGCGCUUUGGCUUUGGCAGCGGUCCAAGUUCCUUGGAACAGGACGUCACAGAGGGUGAGAAUCCCGUACGUGGUCGCUAGCUAUCGCCGUGUAAAGCCCCUUCGACGAGUCGAGUUGUUUGGGAAUGCAGCUCUAAAUGGGAGGUAAAUUUCUUCUAAAGCUAAAUAUUGGCCAGAGACCGAUAGCGCACAAGUAGAGUGAUCGAAAGAUGAAAAGCACUUUGGAAAGAGAGUCAAACAGCACGUGAAAUUGUUGAAAGGGAAGCGCUUGCAGCCAGACUUGCUUGCAGUUGCUCAUCCGGGCUUUUGCCCGGUGCACUCUUCUGUAGGCAGGCCAGCAUCAGUUUGGGCGGUGGGAUAAAGGUCUCUGUCACGUACCUCUCUUCGGGGAGGCCUUAUAGGGGAGACGACAUACCACCAGCCUAGACUGAGGUCCGCGCAUCUGCUAGGAUGCUGGCGUAAUGGCUGUAAGCGGCCCGUCUUGAAACACGGACCAAGGAGUCUAACAUCUAUGCGAGUGUUUGGGUGUCAAGCCCGAGCGCGUAAUGAAAGUGAACGGAGGUGGGAACCCGCAAGGGUGCACCAUCGACCGAUCCUGAAGUUUUCGGAAGGAUUUGAGUAAGAGCAUGGCUGUUGGGACCCGAAAGAUGGUGAACUAUGCUUGAAUAGGGUGAAGCCAGAGGAAACUCUGGUGGAGGCUCGCAGCGGUUCUGACGUGCAAAUCGAUCGUCAAAUUUGGGCAUAGGGGCGAAAGACUAAUCGAACUAUCUAGUAGCUGGUUCU
rnacentral:rRNA from 1 species